rnacentral:rRNA from 1 species
GCAGCCGCGGUAAUACGUGGGGGGCAAGCGUUGUCCGGAUUUAGUGGGCGUAAAGAGCGUGUAGGCGGCCAGGUAGGUCGGUUGUGAAAACUGGAGGCUCAACUUCCAGACGUCGACCGAAACCAUCUGGCUAGAGUCCGGAAGAGGAGAGUGGAAUUCCUGGUGUAGCGGUGGAAUGCGCAGAUAUCAGGAAGAACACCCGUGGCGAAGGCGGCUCUCUGGGACGGUACUGACGCUGAGACGCGAAAGCGUGGGGAGCGAA